AUAUCGGGAAUGAGGUUCUCCCAAGGAUGCUUUACAUCCUGAACCGCUUAUUUAAGCUGAUGACUUCUGCGAU
rnacentral:ncRNA from 1 species